rnacentral:rRNA from 1 species
GACGAACGCUGGCGGCGUGCUUAACACAUGCAAGUCGAACGGAAAGGCCCUGCUUUUGUGGGGUGCUCGAGUGGCGAACGGGUGAGUAACACGUGAGUAACCUGCCCUUGACUUUGGGAUAACUUCAGGAAACUGGGGCUAAUACCGGAUAGGAGCUCCUGCUGCAUGGUGGGGGUUGGAAAGUUUCGGCGGUUGGGGAUGGACUCGCGGCUUAUCAGCUUGUUGGUGGGGUAGUGGCUUACCAAGGCUUUGACGGGUAGCCGGCCUGAGAGGGUGACCGGCCACAUGGGGACUGAGAUACGGCCCAGACUCCUACGGGAGGCAGCAGUGGGGAAUAUUGCACGAUGGGCGGAAGCCGGAUGCAGCAACGCCGCGUGCGGGAGGACGGCCUUCGGGUUGUAAACCGCUUUCGCCUGUGACGAAGCGUGAGUGACGGUAAUGGGUAAAGAAGCACCGGCUAACUACGU